AAAAAGGCAAACUCUAUAUUUCCGUGUCCAACUUUGACUGUCCGUCUUAUAUGAAAUUUUUUUAUAAUUUGAAUUUUUAUUGUUGUUAGAUGAUAAAACAUGAUUAAUAUUUUAUGCGUAACUUGUCUUUUUAAUUUUUUUAUAAUUUUUUCAAAUAAGAUGGACGGUCAAAAGUUGGACACGGAAAUUAGGG
rnacentral:pre_miRNA from 1 species